rnacentral:misc_RNA from 1 species
CGCUUCUCCGCAAGGAUACCUUCAUUUUCCACUGCUGAAAGCGUCUUCGUUAUCGCACCCCGAAAUACGAUAUGGUUUCGGAUUCUGACCUCGUGACUCGCCUUCGCGAAAUUCUCCGGACUUCCGACCUUGACACCGCCACAGCUGGCAGUGUCCGUAGGAAGUUGGAGGAGGAUUUCGGCCUCGAUUUGUCGGACCGGAAAGUGUUUAUCAGGGAACAAAUCGACCUUUACCUCGAAACCCUACAUAACGAACAUAACGACGAAGAUGAAGAAGAAAAUAUGGCAGAGAAGGUGAAUCAGAAUAACGAAGGCAAUGAAAACGACGCCGUUGAAGAAGAAGAAGAGGUGGAAGAGGAGGAAGAAGAAGACGAGAGUGACGAACAGGGAACUAAAAUAAAAAGGUCAAAUAAGGCUGAAAAAGAAGGCAAGAAAAGAGGAGG